AUUGAACGCUGGCGGCAGGCCUAACACAUGCAAGUCGAACGAGUGGCGGACGGGUGAGUAAUGUCUGGGAAACUGCCUGAUGGAGGGGGAUAACUACUGGAAACGGUAGCUAAUACCGCAUACCAUCGGAUGUGCCCAGAUGGGAUUAGCUAGUAGGUGGGGUAACGGCUCACCUAGGCGACGAUCCCUAGCUGGUCUGCGAGGAUGACCGGCCACACUGGAACUGAGACACGGCCCAGACUCCUACGGGAGGCAGCAGUGGGGAAUAUUGGACAAUGGGCGCAAGCCUGAUGCAGCCAUGCCGCGUGUAUGAAGAAGGCUUGCGGGUUGUAAAGUACUUUCAGCAGGGAGGCGUUACCCGAAGAAAAAGCAACGGCUAACUCCGUGCCAGCAGCCGCGGUAAUAC
rnacentral:rRNA from 1 species